rnacentral:rRNA from 1 species
AUUGAACGCUGGCGGCAGGCCUAACACAUGCAAGUCGAAUGGUAACAGGAAACAGCUUGCUGUUUCGCUGACGAGUGGCGGACGGGUGAGUAAUGUCUGGGAAACUGCCUGAUGGAGGGGGAUAACUACUGGAAACGGUAGCUAAUACCGCAUAACGUCGCAAGACCAAAGAGGGGGACCUUCGGGCCUCUUGCCAUCAGAUGUGCCCAGAUGGGAUUAGCUAGUAGGUGGGGUAACGGCUCACCUAGGCGACGAUCCCUAGCUGGUCUGAGAGGAUGACCAGCCAUACUGGAACUGAGACACGGUCCAGACUCCUACGGGAGGCAGCAGUGGGGAAUAUUGCACAAUGGGCGCAAGCCUGAUGCAGCCAUGCCGCGUGUAUGAAGAAGGCCUUCGGGUUGUAAAGUACUUUCAGCGGGGAGGAAGGGAGUAAAGUUAAUACCUUUGCUCAUUGACGUUACCCGCAGAAGAAGCACCGGCUAACUCCGUG